UGCUUUUUGGUUUAUUGGUGAGAACAUAUAACUUAGGAUUAUAAGAACCGGGUUCGACUCCCGGAAAGGUCU